CCUACGGGAGGCUGCAGUAGGGAAUCUUCCACAAUGGGCGACAGCCUGAUGGAGCAACGCCGCGUGGGUGAAGAAGGUCUUCGGAUCGUACAACCCUGUUGUUAGAGAAGAAAGUGCGUGAGAGUAACUGUUCACGUUUCGACGGUAUCUAACCAGAAAGCCACGGCUAACUACGUGCCAGCAGCCGCGGUAAUACGUAGGUGGCAAGCGUUAUCCGGAUUUAUUGGGCGUAAAGGGAACGCAGGCGGUCUUUUAAGUCUGAUGUGAACGCCUUCGGCUUAACCGGAGUAGUGCAUUGGAAACUGGGAGACUUGAGGGCAGAAGAGGAGAGUGGAACUCCAUGGGUAGCGGUGAAAUGCGUAGAUAUAUGGAAGAACACCAGUGGCGAAAGCGACUCUCUGGUCUGUAACUGACGCUGAGGUUCGAAAGCGUGGGUAGCAAACAGGAUUAGAUACCCGGGUAGUC
rnacentral:rRNA from 1 species